rnacentral:rRNA from 1 species
AAUGAACGCUGGCGGCGUGCUUUACACAUGCAAGUCGAGCGAGGCGGCCCGCAAGGGCCAGUCGAGCGGCGAACGGGUGAGUAACGCGUGGAUUAUCUGCCCUGAGGUGGGGGAUAACCCGGGGAAACUCGGGCUAAUACCGCAUAUGACCGGAAGGUCAAAGGGGGGUCGCAAGAUCUCUCGCCUUUGGAGGAGUCCGCGUUCGAUUAGCUAGUUGGUAGGGUAAUGGCCUACCAAGGCGACGAUCGAUAGCCGGCCUGAGAGGGUGAUCGGCCACACUGGAACUGAGACACGGUCCAGACUCCUACGGGAGGCAGCAGUGGGAAUUUGCGCAAUGGCUAACGCCUGACGCAGCAACGCCGCGUGGAGGAUGAAGGUCCUUGGAUUGUAAACUCCUGUCAG